rnacentral:rRNA from 1 species
GACGAACGCUGGCGGCGUGCUUAACACAUGCAAGUCAAGGGGGCCCGCAAGGGCAACCGGCGAACGGGUGCGUAACACGUGAGCAACCUGCCUAGGUGUGGGGGAUAGCCGGCCCAACGGCCGGGUAAUACCGCAUAGGUUCUUCUGGGGGAGGUCCUUGGGAGAGCAAACCUGUCGCAAGACGGGGCAUUUAGAGGGGCUCGCGGCCUAUCAGCUAGUUGGUGAGGUAAUGGCUCACCAAGGCUUCGACGGGUAGCCGGCCUGAGAGGGCGACCGGCCACACUGGGACUGAGAUACGGCCCAGACUCCUACGGGAGGCAGCAGUGGGGAAUAUUGCGCAAUGGUCUAACGACUGACGCAGCGACGCCGCGUGUGGGAGGACGCCU